rnacentral:rRNA from 1 species
GUAGGUGGCAAGCGUUGUCCGGAAUUAUUGGGCGCAAAGCGCGCGCAGGCGGUUCUUUAAGUCUGAUGUGAAAGCCCACGGCUCAACCGUGGAGGGUCAUUGGAAACUGGAGAACUUGAGUACAGAAGAGGAAAGCGGAAUUCCACGUGUAGCGGUGAAAUGCGUAGAGAUGUGGAGGAACACCAGUGGCGAAGGCGGCUUUCUGGUCUGUAACUGACGCUGAGGCGCGAAAGCGUGGGGAGCAAACAGGAUUAGAUACCCUGGUAGUCCACGCCGUAAACGAUGAGUGCUAAGUGUUAGGGGGUUUUCCGCCCCCCUUAGUGCUGCAGCUAACGCAUUAAGCACUCCGCCUGGGAGUACGGCCGCAAGGCUG